GUCAGCUGUUUCGGUAGAAUUAGGGAAUAGUAAACAUUAAAUUUAAUUGUACGCAUUUUAGGAUAAAUAUAAGGCAGACAUCGAAAAUAGUGAUAAUGUAGGCCACAAAUUUCGAAUUAUAACAAAAACAAAUGUCUAGAAAAUCAAUUCCGUUCCGUUCGCCGAACAAAAAUAAAAAAAAAAAUGAUGACAAACAGAUGCCGGCACUGAUUGUUGUUGCUCUCGUUUUUGUAGUUUCUUGUAUUUUUGCAACAAAUUAUGAAACGCAAAGACCGUGAAAAGCGAGCUGCUAACGUAAUCGACGAAAAGCGGAGGAGGAUUGUGGAGACACAAAUAAUCACUGAUUGUGAAGACCAUAUUAUCUUUUCCAUUACACCAGAAAUCGAACCGAAAUUAAAGAAAUUUGCGAAACAAUAAGCUGAAAAAAUGAACGCACACAAUCAAAAAUGGGUGUUAACCCACCCAGGAGCGAGUAUCAGUGAUUCUGUCAAAGUUCAAAAAUAGAAACCCGAAAAUUGGAAAAAAUCAAUUAAGCAAAUUUCAAAUUAAAAAGCCCGAAGACACGAGCACACUCAAUACAAAUCGGAUUAUAGCAAUAAAAACUGGAAGAACCACUUCCGCAACACCACAAUUGAUAGUGAA